UCCCUGUAGGACUAGUGCUUAUGCCACAGCGAUCUCACCGCUGUGGCCCGGGUUCGAUUCCCAGCCAGGGAA
rnacentral:tRNA from 1 species